AUUUAUAUAGUUUAAAUAAAACAUUACAUUUUCACUGUAAAAAAAAUACAACAAUAUUUAUAGAUA
rnacentral:tRNA from 1 species